rnacentral:rRNA from 1 species
GACGUAGGGUGCGAGCGUUGUCCGGAUUUAUUGGGCGUAAAGAGCUCGUAGGCGGCUCGUCGCGUCGACCGUGAAAACCCGCGGCUUAACUGCGGGCUUGCGGUUGAUACGGGCGGGCUAGAGUUCGGUAGGGGAGACUGGAAUUCCUGGUGUAGCGGUGAAAUGCGCAGAUAUCUGGAGGAACACCGGUGGCGAAGGCGGCAUCCUGGACCGGCAUUGACGCUGAGGCGCGAAAGCCAGGGGAGCAAACGGG